UACGUAGGGGGCAAGCGUUGUCCGGAAUCAUUGGGCGUAAAGAGCGCGUAGGCGGCCCUGUAAGUCCGCUGUGAAAGUCAAGGGCUCAACCCUUGGAUGCCGGUGGAUACUGCAGGGCUAGAGUCCGGAAGAGGCGAGUGGAAUUCCCGGUGUAGCGGUGAAAUGCGCAGAUAUCGGGAGGAACACCUAUGGCGAAGGCAGCUCGCUGGGACGUUACUGACGCUGAGACGCGAAAGCGUGGGGAGCAAACAGG
rnacentral:rRNA from 1 species